AUACUUACCUGGCAGGGGAGAUACCAUGAUCACAAAGACGGUUUUCCCAGGGCAAGACUUACCCAUUGUACUCCAGAUGUGCUGACCCGUGCGAUUUCCCCAAAUGUGGGAAACUCGACUGUGUAAUUUGUGGUAGUAGGGGACUGCGUUCACACUCUCCCCUU
rnacentral:snRNA from 1 species